AUUGAACGCUGGCGGCAGGCCUAACACAUGCAAGUCGAGCGGAUGAAGGGAGCUUGCUCCUGAAUUCAGCGGAAGACGGGAGAGUAAUGCCUAGGAAUCUGCCUGGUAGUGGGGGAUAACGUCCGGAAACGGGCGCUAAUACCGCAUACGCCCUGAGGGAGAACGUGGGGGAUCUUCGGACCUCACGCUAUCAGAUGAGCCUAGGUCGGAUUAGCUAGUUGGUGGGGUAAAGGCCUACCAAGGCGACGAUCCGUAACUGGUCUGAGAGGAUGAUCAGUCACACUGGAACUGAGACACGGUCCAGACUCCUACGGGAGGCAGCAGUGGGGAAUAUUGGACAAUGGGCGAAAGCCUGAUCCAGCCAUGCCGCGUGUGUGAAGAAGGUCUUCGGGUUGUAAAGUGCUUUUGGUUGGGAGGAAGGGGAGUUGGUUAAUACCUUGCUGUUUUGACGUUACCAACAGAAUAAGCACCGGCUAACUUCGUG
rnacentral:rRNA from 1 species